AGGGAAUCUUCGGCAAUGGGGGCAACCCUGACCGAGCAACGCCGCGUGAGUGAAGAAGGUUUUCGGAUCGUAAAGCUCUGUUGUAAGAGAAGAACGAGUGUGAGAGUGGAAAGUUCACGCUGUGACGGUAUCUUACCAGAAAGGGACGGCUAACUACGUGCCAGCAGCCGCGGUAAUACGUAGGUCCCGAGCGUUAUCCGGAUUUAUUGGGCGUAAAGCGAGCGCAGGCGGUUAGAUAAGUCUGAAGUUAAAGGCUGUGGCUUAACCAUAGUACGCUUUGGAAACUGUUUAACUUGAGUGCAGAAGGGGAGAGUGGAAUUCCAUGUGUAGCGGUGAAAUGCGUAGAUAUAUGGAGGAACACCGGUGGCGAAAGCGGCUCUCUGGUCUGUAACUGACGCUGAGGCUCGAAAGCGUGGGGAGCAAACAGGAUUAGAUACCCUGGUAGUCCACGCCGUAAACGAUGAGUGCUAGGUGUUGGGUCCUUUCCGGGACUCAGUGCCGCAGCUAACGCAUUAAGCACUCCGCCUGGGGAGUACGACCGCAAGGUUG
rnacentral:rRNA from 1 species